rnacentral:rRNA from 1 species
CAAGACUUGACAUCCUGCUGACCUCUCUAGAGAUAGAGAUUCCCUUCGGGGCAGCAGUGACAGGUGGUGCAUGGUUGUCGUCAGCUCGUGUCGUGAGAUGUUGGGUUAAGUCCCGCAACGAGCGCAACCCCUAUGUUGUGUUGCUACCAUUUAGUUGAGCACUCACAACAGACUGCCGGUGACAAACCGGAGGAAGGCGGGGAUGACGUCAAAUCAUCAUGCCCCUUAUGUCUUGGGCUACACACGUGCUACAAUGGGCGGUACAAAGAGAUGCGAGGCCGUGAGGCGGAGCUAAUCUCAUAAAGCCGUUCGUAGUUCGGAUUGCAGGCUGCAACUCGCCUGCAUGAAGCCGGAAUUGCUAGUAAUCGCGGAUCAGCAUGCCGCGGUGAAUUCGUUCCCGGGCCUUGUACACACCGCCCGUCACACCAUGGGAGUUGGCAACACCCGAAGUCGGUGAGGUAACCUUUCGAGGAGCCAGCCGCCUAAGGUGGGGUCGAUGACUGGGGUG